UCCCAAUUGCCCUCCACGUUCUAAUUUGAUUGCCGUUGGCUUGCUGCUGGAUCCAUGGGCUUGGAGUUUUCUUAGCUUACGUGCAUGUAUAUUUGACGUGCAUGGGUUCUUGCAUGACGUCCCUCUCACUGUCCGCUGUCCGAUUGCCGACCUGCAGUAGGGGCCUCUUGGCCCCGGAGGCACGUGCCGUUGGCCAAGCCCUCGCGGCGAAAGAGCGGCGCGAGCUGCCUUGAAGUACAAUUCCCACCGAGUGGCGGGUAGAAUCCUUUGCAGACGACUUAAAUACGCGACGGGAUAUU
rnacentral:lncRNA from 1 species